rnacentral:snRNA from 1 species
GUUCUCAUUUUGUUAGCACAUAAACUAAAAUUGGAUCAAUACAGAGCUUAGAAUGAUGCCUGCUCAAUGUUGACAUGCAGGGAAGAAUUCUGUAUUUUG